rnacentral:rRNA from 1 species
CAACGCCGGGAAACUCACCAGAUAAGACAGCUGAAUGAUAGUCGGGCUGAAGACUCUACUUGACUAGCUGAGAGGAGGUGCAUGGCCGUCGUCAGUUCGUACUGUGAAGCAUCCUGUUAAGUCAGGCAACGAGCGAGACCCACGCCAACAGUUGCCAGCUCGUCCUCCGGGAUGGUGGGGACACGUGUUGGGACCGCUCUGCUAAGAGAGAAGGAAUGGGGCAACGGUAGGUCAGCAUGCCCCGAAUUAUCUGGGCUACACGCGGGCUACAAUGGGUGGGACAAUGGGUAUCGACACCGAAAGGUGAAGGCAAUCUCCUAAACCCAUCCGUAAGUUCGGAUUGUGGGCUGCAACUCGCCCACAUGAAGCUGGAAUCUGUAGUAAUCGUGUCUCAAAUAGGCACGGUGAAUAUGUCCCUGCUCCUU